UCCAUGCUGUAAACUAUGAUCACUAGAUGUUGGCGAUAUAUUGUCAGUGUUUUAGAGAAAUCGUUAAGUGAUCCACCUGGGGAGUACGUUCGCAAGAAUGAAACUCAAAGGAAUUGACGGGGGCCCGCACAAGCGGUGGAGCAUGUGGUUUAAUUCGAUGAUACGCGAGGAACCUUACCAAGACUUAAAUGUAUUUUGCUAAAUUGAGAAAUCAAUUGUUCUUCGGACAACUU
rnacentral:rRNA from 1 species